CCUUUGCUGAUACAGUACAUAAAAGAAUGGUUAAUAAAUACAGAAUGAAGGCAUUCCAUGCAGACAGCAAUGGCUUCUUAUCUUAGCUUCGUUAUAUCUUGUGCCCAUAACAUGUGUGUAAUGCACAAACGGUCAAGAAUCUUGAACGGGUCAGGUCGUUUUCCUACGUUGUCUUUAAUUGGAACUGGUCUAGGUCCCGGGUUUGUCGAGUUCUAGAGGCCGGUGUAGGUCUAAUAGCUAUGGUGAAGAGUGUGACAGUUGCAUUGGUGGAAUCCGAGAAUAUUACAAGCAAUGAUCUUUUCUGACAAAACAAAAGCAGUUUUGAGGAGUAAUCAGCUUGGCAAAUGUACCAAAUCGAAUUUUCUUAUGGAUUCUGGGGAAUCCAAAUUGUGCGGACAGAACCACCACAUGAAACAAAUAUCAAUUCAAUUACAAUAUAUUCUGACAUGAACAUUAAAGGUAACGACAUGUGGAGAAAACCCCGCUAUCUGUUUCGUCCCCUAGUUGAAAAGGAAAUGGAUGUACUCUAGUGUGAUGUUAGGAGAUAAGAAGAAGAAGAAACCUGGAGACAGGAAGGUCACAGGAAACGGGACUAGACCUUAGCUAAGUAAACAAGCUACUGAAACGGUUGGAGGUGUUUCCAAGCUCAAGCUUCCCAAAUCUCUACGCUCAUAGCAACAAAAGGCAUGGAUAUUAUGGCAUGCAUACCUGUGGUCAUAUGAGGCCAAAAUUGACAUCAGGGCUUACGCUGCCUGUAACUUACCAUUAUGAACUGGUGAUCAAUAAAUGACUACAGUCUACAGCAAUGUGCAAUGGCACUUGCCUCUAAUUUGGACUAAAAUCUCUUUGCUAGAUAUCAUGCACUGAUUUUGGAAUUGCAGCUUCAGACAGUCUUCACUUACACCUGGAUACUUCUGACUGGUCUUUGUUCCUUGGAUACUGUAUCCAUACACUAUUGAACGGGAUCAGGGUAGAUUCCUGAAGUUUUCGAAGUGUCACUAUGCGGCUCCUUGAUCUACUUUAUAUUGCUUCUGUGCCAAUUUUGAAAGUACUAAUUCUAACAGCACUUGGAUCACUUCUUGCAUUGGACAAUAUACAUGUCUUGGGAGAGAGUACAAGGAAAGAACUAAAUCGUGUAGUAUUUUUGGUGUUUAGUCCAGCACUGGUGGUUAGCAGCCUGGCUAAAACAAUCACCUAUGAAAACAUUGUUACGUUGUGGUUCAUGCCAGUCAAUAUUCUUUGUGCAUUCAUUGUCGGCUCAGAACUAGGAUGGAUACUCAUAAAAAUCACAAGACCUGCCAAACAACUUAAGGGCCUCAUAUUGGGUUGCUGUGCUGCAGGAAACAAUGGAAGUUUGCUUUUCAUCAUCAUCCCAGCAGUCUGUAGUGAGAAAGGCAGUCCAUUUGGAUCCCCUGAUGUUUGCUCUACAUACGGAAUGGCUUAUGUUUCUCUUUCCUUGGCAGUAAGCGCCAUUUAUAUGUGGUCUUAUGUUUAUAACGUUGUGAGGGUUUCCUCAAGGGAUGUCAACAAAGAAGCUGAUAGUGAUGGCCAUGGUGGCUCCACAAGUACUGUGAAGGAUGCCGGAGAAACACCAGAACCCAUCCAAGGGAAUUACUCGGAAGCUUUUCUUCCUUCCAAAGAGUUUCCAGUUUCCGAUGAAUAUGAGUUGCUUCUUCCUUUCACAAAUUCUGAGGGAAUUGUUAAGGUACACUUAUCUGACAAGAUUAAGCAAUGCUUCAGGAUGAUAUCAAGAAAGCUAAAUCUGAAGGCAGUCUUUGCACCUUCAACUACCGCAGCGAUUGCUGGCUUUAUAAUUGGAGUGAUUCCUCAAAUUCGGAAUUCCUUAAUCGGUUCUGGUGCUCCUCUUCAUGUAGUUGAAGCUUCUGCUUCUCUGAUAGGGGAUGCAGCCAUCCCAACAAUCACUUUAAUUGUCGGAGGAAACCUUCUUAGAGGUUUAAGAGGAUCAGGAAUUCAGUCGUCACUCAUAGUUGGAAUAGUAGCAGUUAGGUUUGUUUUCCUUCCUCUCAUAGGCACUGCCAUUGUUAAAGGUGCAGUCCACUUUGGUCUGGUCCAUUCUGAUCCAUUAUAUCAGUUUGUCCUUCUGCUACAAUUUGCAGUUCCACCAGCAUUGAACAUAGGCACAAUUACUCAGUUAUUUGGAGCUGGAGAAAGUGAAUGCUCUGUGAUAAUGUUAUGGACAUAUGCGCUGGCAUCAAUUUUUCUAACUCUGUGGUCAACCCUUUUCAUGUGGCUAGUAGCUUGAUUGCUAUUCUUAUUUUAUAGAUAGACUUCAACAUUUGUUGGGAAAUUCUUCCACUUUGGAGAGUGGUUAUUGUUAAAAGUAAGAGUUUGGCUUAAAAUCGAGUAGUGUAUACCAUGGUGUUCAAACUCAAAUCCACAAAGACUAUUGCCUCUCUUCAUUAACAAUGAAUCAAUGAUGGUUUCAGUCGUUGUUGGUUUCAUCGAUGUCCUGUUACGGUGAUUUUGUGUUGGAGAGAGUAUAGUAGUUCAGUGUUGGUGAGGCUGUGAGGGUGAGGGUGGUGGCUCAUAUGGUAUUCAAUUAUAUGGUGAAGCUGGUAUUAUUGUCAAGUUGAUGUUAAUGAGAAGGGAAAUUUGUCGGGUUUAUUUUCGCCCUUAAAUUUUUGGUAAUUGCAGUAUUUAAUUUAAUUAUUUUCUUAAAAAUAUUUAAUUUAUGAUGAAAUUAAUUUUAACUAACAAGUGAUUUUAAGCAGCAAGACAUCAAGGGAACUCCAUCUGAAGGAAGUGUUUGCACCUUCAACUAUAGGAGCAAUAUCCCCUAAUCGUUAUCCCAACAAAGCCACUUUUUUCAUGGUGUAUUUCUUGCUUCUUGCUUGAUAUCUGAACUAACUUUCAGAGAUAUCUUUUUGGCAUAGAUAGCUGGUUUUAUCAUCGGAGUGAUCACUCAGAUUCGGAAUCUCAUGUUCGGCGCCAGUGCUCCUAUUCAUUAGUUGAAGAAUCUGCAUCUUUUCUUGGGGAUGCAACUGUCCGAACUGUGAUUUUGAUAAUGGGAGGGAACCUGCAGAGAGGUAACUCCUAGUUGUCUUUAUGCCUCCCGUGAAGUGGUCAAAAUCUUGCUUCUCUUCCUAGUAUUGUUUACCAAGGAAUUGUCAUUGUUAAGCGUGCCGUCCUGUUUGGUCGGGUGCAUUCAGAUCCAUUAUAUCAGUUUAUGCUUCUGCUACAAUUUACACUACCACCAGCAAUGAACCUAUAAAAUUCAGAUCCAUUAAUUUGAGGACAUCAGGCAUUGUUCUGAAAUUCUUUCAAUUUGAAUAGGGUUUAUUUAUUGUUGCAAGGAAAGGCCUGUAGGGUGUCAGCUAAUCCUGACUGUUCCAGAAACUACUGUGUUUUAUCCUUUCUUUUAUUGCUUGUUCUCUAUAAAAUUCAUCACGUGGACAACAAAGGCAAGACUGCAUCAUCAAACAAUUUAAUGUCAGGUUGUAGGUCAAAUAUAUAAUUCUUUUGCCUUGUAAAGGGCAUUCAAAUAUAUCUAGCCUAGUAUGUGUUAUUACAUCUGUAUUUGGCAGAACUGAUGAAGCAUCCCUGUUAACACAUAAUAAUACAUUUAGCACAGUACCCUUUUGCCUGUA